CCAGGAGGAGCAGCUCUGAAAGGACCUCAGAAGUGAGAAGCAGCUGCCCCACCUGCUUCACCACUGAAAGCCACAGUCAUGAUGCCAUUUCAUGGGCAGUGCCACUGGCGACAGCCAUCAUCUGACAUAAGGAAAAAAUGUGAGAACAGGCUGUAACGAAAUGAGGAGAUGCCGGACAGCAUGGGAUGAACAGACCUACGUUUGGUAUUAGCUCAACCUGUGGAGGUUUCAGUGACCUUGAACUCAGCACUCAGACUCUGAUCUGUUGUUUCUGGAAGGCAGAGUUAACUCUUGUCAUGUUCAGGAAGAUGUAUUUUGAUGGAAUUAGGGCACAAGAAUCUGAGUUCAUUUUCUGACUCAGCCACUUUCUGAGCGUGUGCCCGUGGGAUGUUGUUGAAUAUCACCGAAUUACUUCAGUUCUUAUGCAAGGAUGUGCAGCCUCAUAAACUGUCGUGAACUAAGUCAGGUAACAGUUCUCAUCAGUGCUGGAAUACAGUGGGACUCAGCUAGUGUUGUUUUUCCCUGCCUAACUCAAGCAGCCCUUGCUACCAAGAGACAGCACAAGCAUGUAGCCUGCUUGUAUUCCUCAGGAAUAGUGUUUGUUGGCCAUGUUGCCUCAAAAUUUUAAAUAUCAGGUCAUGAACCAUGUUGCCUAGCACUGAGUCAAGCAUGCAGAAACCACAGAAUAAACAAAUCUCUGCCAAACACAGACAGAAACACACAGGCCUUGACGCAUCCACCCAUCCAUCAGGCUGACACUGGAGAAACGAUUAUCUCUAGGCUUAUAAAUUUUGGAAUUUUCCCUUUCCUGAGAUGCUCCUGGGAACAGAGUGGACCCGUGGCUAACAAUACUGGGUAGGAUAGUAUGGAGAAGCAAGUAUAGCCUGGCAGUCAUCUGCACAACGGAGUAGAAGGCCUUUCUCCCGUGUCUUAGGAACUUUCUGCUGCUGUGACGAAAUGCCGAAACCAAGAGCAAGUUAUAGAGGAAAGAGGGCCAUUGUUUUCUUAUGGGCUUAAGGCUCCAGAGGGUAAGUUGUCCUUCAUGGCAGCAGGAACAGGAAGAUGAGAGAAGCAGAGAGAACUGGAGGUGGGAUGUGGCUACAAACUCUGAUGUCCUCCCUCCUGAAAGGUUCAUGACCUUCCCAAACAGCUACAAACUUGGGAUUGAGUGGUAAAAUACGUGAGUCUAUGGGGGACACUUUUUCAAACCACCACACCCCGAUCCUGAAAUCAGGUGUUACAGCUGGGGUUUGGGGGUGCGGGUUGUUGUUUGUUUUCCCAGACAUGGUCUCCUAUAACCCAGGCUGGCUUCGAACUCACCAAAAAUGACCUUGAACUUCUGAUCCUCCUGCCUCCCCCCAACUGCUGGGGUUGCCCUGUAUCACCAUGCCCAGAAAUGUGCACCGGUAUCACACCCAGGGCUUCACAGACACUAGGCAAUUUCUCUCUCUGGGAACUUGAGCUACACCCUCCAAUCCUGAAUUCUUUUUGUUUGUUUUGUUUUGGUUUGGUUGAGACAGGGUUUCUCUGUAGCUUUGGAGGCUGUCCUGGAACUAGCUCCUGUAGACCAGGCUGGUCUCUAACUCACAGAGAUCCACCUGUCUCUGCCUCCUGAGUGCUGGGACUAAAGAUGUGAGCCACCAACGCCCGGCCUCAGUCCUGAAUUCUUAAUGUGCUGUGAAAACCUCAACUGAGCAUUUUCUUCAUCAAAGCGCCCUUCGCCUGGUUCGAUGUCAUCACAAGCCCGUGCCCAUGCCCUGCAUGCUCGAGUGAGCCCUCAUCCCAUGCCUGACCUUUGGAAUCAACUUCUUCGUGGGAAAGCAACCUGUGCCUCCACUGAGCACAAGUGCACAGGGCUAUUUUGAGCCACCACUCUCUGGAAUCAUGACAGCCUGACUUGUGGAAUUGGAAGUAGGUCACCAACUAAUCUCUUCCAAGUGACAAAAAAAAAAAAUGCAUCUG